rnacentral:rRNA from 1 species
UACAGAGGUCCCAAGCGUUGUUCGGAUUCACUGGGCGUAAAGGGCGCGUAGGCGGUCGGGUAAGUGGGAUGUGAAAGCUCUGGGCUCAACCCAGGAAUUGCAUUCCAUACUGCUCGACUUGAGUUCGGUAGAGGAGGGCGGAAUUCCAGGUGUAGCGGUGAAUGCGUAGAUAUCUGGAGGAACACCGUGGCGAAGGCGGCUCUCUGGUCCGAUACUGACGCUGAGGAGCGAAGCGUGGGAGCGAACAGG